GACGAACCGUGCGAACGUUAUUCGGAAUCACUGGGCUUAAAGCGCGUGUAGGCGGAUGGGAACGUCGGUAGUUGAAAGCCCCCGGCUCAACCGGGGAAGUGGUGCCGAAACGACCCGUCUGGAGGGACGUAGGGGGACCUGGAACUUCCGGUGGAGCGGUGAAAUGCGUUGAGAUCGGAAGGAACGCCCGUGGCGAAAGCGGCUCUCUGGGACGGUACUGACGCUGAGACGCGAAAGCGUGGGGAGCGAACAGG
rnacentral:rRNA from 1 species